AGAGUUUGAUCCUGGCUCAGGACGAACGCUGGCGGCGUGCUUAACACAUGCAAGUCGAACGGGGCUCGCUACUUCGGUGGUGGGUCCAGUGGCGAACGGGUGAGUAACACGUGGGCAACCUGCCCCCGGCUCUGGGAUAACUCCAAGAAAUUGGGGCUAAUACCGGAUGUGACCGCUGGCCGCAUGGUCUGGUGGUGGAAAGGGUUUCCGGCUGGGGAUGGGCCCGCGGCCUAUCAGCUUGUUGGUGGGGUAGUGGCCUACCAAGGCGACGACGGGUAGCCGGCCUGAGAGGGUGACCGGCCACACUGGGACUGAGACACGGCCCAGACUCCUACGGGAGGCAGCAGUGGGGAAUAUUGCGCAAUGGGCGGAAGCCUGACGCAGCGACGCCGCGUGGGGGAUGACGGCCUUCGGGUUGUAAACCUCUUUCAGCAGGGACGAAGCUUUUGGGUGACGGUACCUGCAGAAGAAGCACCGGCCAACUACGUGCCAGCAGCCGCGGUAAUACGUAGGGUGCAAGCGUUGUCCGGAAUUAUUGGGCGUAAAGAGCUCGUAGGCGGUUUGUCGCGUCGGCUGUGAAAUCCCGGAGCUCAACUCCGGGCCUGCAGUCGAUACGGGCAGACUCGAGUGUUGCAGGGGAGACUGGAAUUCCUGGUGUAGCGGUGAAAUGCGCAGAUAUCAGGAGGAACACCGGUGGCGAAGGCGGGUCUCUGGGCAACAACUGACGCUGAGGAGCGAAAGCGUGGGGAGCGAACAGGAUUAGAUACCCUAGUAGUCC
rnacentral:rRNA from 1 species